rnacentral:rRNA from 1 species
UAACACAUGCAAGUCGAACGCAACCUUCGGGUUGAGUGGCGGACGGGUGAGUAACGCGUGAGAAUCUGCCUUGGGGUCGGGGACAACCACUGGAAACGGUGGCUAAUACCGGAUACGCCUUCGGGUAAAAGAUUUAUUGCCCUAAGAGGAGCUCGCGUCUGAUUAGCUAGUUGGUAAGGUAAGAGCUCACCAAGGCAGCGAUCAGUAGCUGGUCUGAGAGGACGAUCAGCCACACUGGGACUGAGACACGGCCCAGACUCCUACGGGAGGCAGCAGUGGGGAAUUUUCCGCAAUGGGCGAAAGCCUGACGGAGCAAGACCGCGUGAGGGAGGAAGGCUCUUGGGUUGUAAACCUCUUUUCUCAGGGAAGAAGCUCUGACGGUACCUGAGGAAUCAGCCUCGGCUAACUCCGUGCCAGCAGCCGCGGUAAUACGGAGGAGGCAAGCGUUAUCCGGAAUUAUUGGGCGUAAAGCGUCCGCAGGUGGCAAUUCAAGUCUGCUGUCAAAGCACGGGGCUUAACUCCGUAAAGGCAGUGGAAACUGAAUAGCUAGAGUGCCGUAGGGGUAGAGGGAAUUCCCGGUGUAGCGGUGAAAUGCGUAGAGAUCGGGAAGAACAUCGGUGGCGAAAGCGCUCUACUGGACGGCAACUGACACUCAGGGACGAAAGCUAGGGGAGCGAAUGGGAUUAGAUACCCCAGUAGUCCUAGCUGUAAACGAUGGAUACUAGGUGUAGCUUGUAUCGACCCGAGCUGUGCCGA